AGCAGUAGCCACGGGAAUACAGAGGGUGCGAGCGUUAAUCGGAUUUACUGGGCGUAAAGCGUGCGUAGGCGGCUAAUUGAGUCGGAUGUGAAAUCCCCGAGCUUAACUUGGGAAUUGCAUUCGAUACUGGUUAGCUAGAGUGUGGGAGAGGAUGGUAGAAUUCCAGGUGUAGCGGUGAAAUGCGUAGAGAUCUGGAGGAAUACCGAUGGCGAAGGCAGCCAUCUGGCCUAACACUGACGCUGAGGUACGAAAGCAUGGGGAGCAAACAGGAUUAGAUACCCCAGUAGUCCCUGUCUCUUAUAC
rnacentral:rRNA from 1 species